UACAAAUGGCUUUUGUUUGGGAUCCUCUGGGAGCCACGGUGCCAGGACCGUCUACAGGAGCCAAAUCAAGAUUGCGUUUCUUAAAGUCCUACAGGUAUUGCUCUUUUCCUUUUGUAGCUAGGAAGAACUGCUUAACUGCCUUAGGCCCCUUGCAAAUAAGCCUUUGCCCUAUGUUGACCUUCUAACUCCUAAUGCUGGUUAAUUUGACAAUAUAUGAAAUAAGAGCCAAGAAGAUGAUGCAGAAGUUGAAGAAAGUUGACUAACUUUAAAAGCUAAUUUUGAGAGUUAAAUGGCAAACUUAACAAAGCAUUCAUAUUACUGCCACCUGAAAAACAGUGUAUUAACUUGUCUAAUGGCUUAAUAUAGUCAACCUAAAUGUUAGGGAAGGGUUCUUGUUUGACUAACCAACAACAAGAACACUACAGUAUUCUUUAUAAGUGUUUCAGGGCACAUCCACAUGAAAAAAUUGAAACUAAUGCUGUUUCAGGUAGUAAUUCAGUGUUAAUCUUGCCCAGCAGAAUUAGAUGCCAUGAAUUCAAACUAAAUAUUUUAAUAAUCUUUUGUUUCUGGAAAUAAUAUUAAAAAUCUUGACCUCAUGACUUCACUAAACUGUCAAUGACUGUUUUACAAGAAAAUCAGCUUAUUUUAACCAAAUAACUGGAAAAAAAGAAGACACUUUAAAAAAUCUUGGAUUUCCUUCUCAUUUGAGUAUUCUAGGUAUUAAUAAAGAGAAGAUUGAUUAUUCUUUAUUAUUGUUUAUAAAUAAAAGCUUUUUUUGUUUUUUAUUGAUUAAAAUUUAUAGCACUGAAAGGUAUCUAUUUAAUCAAUAGUAAAUAGAAGUGACAUUGUUUGCAAAAAGGAUAUAAGGUCUUUCUUAUUUAGACCAAAUGUAGCACAUCUGGAAGCUGCCAGGCCUAUGUAGAAAUGUACAUUAACACAGGAUUAAAAUGUGUUCUGAUUUUCCUGCAUAGAAAACAUUCAAAAUUUGAAUUAAAAUGAUUUAUAAGGAUUAUUUGCUUUAGACAGUAAAGAAGACAAUGUCCUUGGAACUUUUAGGGAACUAUAAACUCAGAGAAAUCAAAUUAAAAAAUUUGUUAUAACAAUGCAAAAGCAAACUUUGGCAAGAGAUAAAUAUAAUUCUUAUUUGAAAAGAAAUUAACGAUUUAUUACGUUAGUUUGUAACAGCUAUAAAAUUUGGUUGCAAAUUUGAAUUAUAUGCCUACUAUGUGCUUUGCAUUCUGUCGAAUGUGAUUCUCAUGUUUAUUAUAUGCUAAAUUGUACAUUCAGAACUUAACAUCAAUUAUUUGCUAACUUUACUGUGCAUAUUUCCAAUAUAUGGUGGCUUCUAGGCUCUCUUCAUCACUGAGAUCUGAUCACAAGCUCUUUAAUAUCAUAAAUCUCCAACUGCUGAAUAAAGUAAAAGCAGUAGCUUGAUGGACUAAAGAAUUUGAGAAAUCUCACGAAAUGCAAAGUUUAAGCUGUACUCUCAGUUUGGCAAAGAUAUUUUUAUCUGAGGUGUUAUGGUAUGAUAAAAAUUUAAAGCUAUAUGAUAAAUAUAUGUUUUCAAGGUUCCUUUGGUCAAGUUCUGGCCCUUUCCAAAAUAUAAGCAUUAGCAGCUAAGGAUAACUUUUUCAUGUAUUUGAAUACCUCACAUCUGUAAUUUUAACAAACUUAAUUUGUAACAAGUUUAAGAGGUAAGGAUGACAUCUCAAGUAUCCAUCAUGAGCCCGUUUCCUUUGGAAGCUUCAGAGACUUAGUCCUUCCUUUAUUUCCUCUUAAUUUGAAUAUAUAAUUUCCCACAUAAUAAUUAAUUUUUUAUAUGUGCUGUUUUCACUGUUUGGAGGUUCUAGUUUAUCUUUCCAGUUGCACUACAAACUCUUUGAGGUUUGAAGCUUCUUUAUAUACAGCAAGAAUGCCAGUAAUGUCUAUUUGAUAAAGUAUCCUGUUACCCUUUCUUAUUUGGCAUCACCCCAUAAUGCUUUAUUGGCAUAACCAACUUGAUAUGAUCAUAUCUAUCAUAAGUUGAAUUGAGUGGAAGGGUUAGGGAGGUAGGAAGGCAGUUGGCCACUGGCUCUUGCAUUUCUGCAGGUCCCUCACUCAUCCAAAGGAGAUUAUGCAUUCAGCCACAACAAUCUACUGACAAUAAUGCAAAAAGGUACUUAUUAUAUAACUUAAAAUUUUUAUCAUACCAUAAUACCUCAGAUGCACCAUGAGUGGCUAUAUAUAUAUACAGACACAUAUACACACCACACACAGACACAUGCACGCACAGUUAAAUGCUAUAAUUAUCUUCUGAAGAACAUAGUUUUAUUGCAUAGCAUUCUUGGAAUUAAAGGUGUUAAACUAUUUGAUGUAAACAUGUAAAAUAUCUCAUAAUGUCACAGCCUUGUUUUUGCAUUUCUUAAUUUAAAAAAAUAUACAAAAUCCUUAAAUGGCGAAAGUAACUUAAGCUUAUCUUGACCUUUAAGAGGCUUUGGAUAUGAUUCCAUUGUUGAAGCAACUGAAAGAACUGGACAUUAGACAACAUUUCUUCACUGAAUUUCUCCCAUAUUUUUUAUGAGCAAUAUUUUAUAUCUUGUAAAAUCUUCAAAUGUGCCUAUUGUAGUGUCAUUUUUCUUUGACUAUCAAAUGGAUAAUAAUGCAUGAUACUGGGGGUACACUUAGCUUUAAGCUGGAAUAUUUUUAUUUGGCAUGGCUUUCGCUCCCUGGUAACAUUCAGGCUAAUGGAAAGCCAAGUCUGUAAGAUAUGAAAUUCAAUUAGUGUCUGAUUUGUUAAAGUAAUAGCAAAUCAUAUACAUUUAAUCAGUGUUGACUCUUGAGAAAUACAAUCUUAAACAGUUUACAAUGCUCAAAAUAGAUUUGAAAGUUCUUCAGCUGUGACAGUUUUUUGUCUUAUGUGGUUGAAAUAGAUUUUUAUAAAAAAACAAAAAUGAUUAAUAUAUAGCUUAUUAAGUUUGGUUUGAGGCAGAAAGAGGGAUUGAAAGAGAAAAAAAGAGGGAGAGGGAAGGAAAGGCAGGAGAGGGGAGUGGAGCAGGGCCGUGGGGAGAGGAGUGAGGAACAGAAAAAGAGAGAAAGCAGAGGAUUACAUAAUAAGGAAGCUACUUUUUCUCUGUGAACCCAGAAGAGAGUGCCAACCGUGUUUUCAGUAAUGGGAUCAGUGUUAGCAUUAGGGCACUGCUUACAAAGAUGAGUACUAUUUUUGAGGGCAAGGUGCUGAUUUAUCUGCCUAGGUUCUGGCACAUGUGUUUAAAGAUUCACCUAAUUACGUUAGAGCAACGCGCCCCCAAGUAUUAUAGAGAAGAAAGAGGAGAGUGAUGUGCUCAUGUUAAAUUUGAGAAAACAAUGUGGAUAAGUUUAUAUUGGUUGUUUAAAUAUAGUACCUAAAAAAAGAUGGGGAAAAACUAUCUGGGAAGUAAGGAAAGAAUCAAGGAGCAAGCAUUUAGCAAGUGUGUGGACCCUGACAACUCCAAUAAGAGAACACUAGGGAAUUUUGUAUUUUAAAAUACAUUAUUGUUUAAAACUACAGUAGUGUUCAAGGAAACUUUAAAUAGAAAAUUACUCUUCUUGAGAUGAUUCUGUCUUCCAAAGAGAACAAAUCACAAAACAUUUCCUGCUUUCUGUCUUCUUAAAAAGGGAUGUUAAAAGGAACAUUUUACGUGAUGAGUAUAGGGUAGGUACUACGUAAAUAGAAGAGAAAGUCACUCAGAGUAUAUUUGAAUGUAGGGCAGAGAUUAUUCCAUAGCAUUCCACAGACCAGAAACAGAAAGUGUCUUCUAGUUUUCUUGCCCUUUAUAGUAAUAGGGGUCAGGGGAUAGAAAUUCUCAGAAAAUCUUCAAAUCUCAUUUUUGCCAAUUGUUUCAACAUCUUUUCCUUCCCAGCAUUUUAGCAGAGCUACCAAACAGGUGAUUAAUUAAGUACGUAUGUGCAUGCUUAUACCUGAUAUAGAAGGUCUAAUGAGUAAAUUUGUUUGAUAUGACGUAGACUGAACAGUAGAAGGAAGGAGGAAUGACAAUCACAUCAAUAAACAAAAGCAUAAAUGAUAUCUGGGCUAUGAAAAGAUAAAGCAAUAUUUGCCCAAAUAAGAAGAUCUAGAUAUCCCUAAAUUAUCCCCUGUAUUCUUAGGAAGUAAAGAUCAAAUCUGCAACUUUGAUCUGGAAAUUGUAUAGUAGCAGAUAUGAGCAGGGAUCAUAGGAGAGUGUGGUCUCAUAGCUACUCUUGGCCACUUCCAAAACCUAAGUGGUAGCACAUCAGUGAUUGCCCAACCAAACUGCACAAUUCCCAUGAGAAAAAGCUGUCUGGAACCCACAUCUUAGAAAGGGAGUGAGCGCCACCUGAAUCAAUACACUAGGACGUAACUUUCUGCAUACCCCAAGAAUACCUCCUGUUGCAUAGCACUUUUUAGUUUUCAAAGCUUUUCAGAUGUAACAGAUCUGACAACUGUUGUUUUUAGUGUGCCACAGCUCAUCUCACUUAAUGCUUUAGGGUAAGUGAAAAGGAUGGAUGUAAUUAUUAUCAAAUAGGAGAAGAACAAUUGGAGGUUCAGGGACUAGAGACCACACACAUAUGUGGUUAGAAAGUCCAAAGUAGGCCCGCGGGGCCAGGUGCGAUGGCGGCGGUGGCUGCACGGCAGCUGGGGCUGCGGGCGGCGGGGCUGGGACGGGCCCCUGCCAGCGCCGCUUGGAAGAGCGUCCUCCGGUUCUCCCCGCGCCCAGAUGUGGCAGUUCUGCAGCAGAAGCAUCUGCCACAAAAGCGGAAGAUGACUCCUUUAUUCAGUGGGUGCUGCUCCUCAUCCCUGUGACUGCCUUUGGCUUGGGGACAUGGCAGGUCCAACGUCGGAAGUGGAAGCUGAACCUGAUUGCAGAGUGGGAGUCUAGAGUUCUGGCUGAGCCUGUCCCUCUACCAGCAGACCCAAUGGAACUGAAAAAUAUGGAGUAUAGGCCAGUGAAAGUCAAGGGGUGCUUUGACCACUCCAAGGAGCUGUAUAUGAUGCCCCGGACCAUGGUGGACCCUGCCCGGGAGGCCUGGGAGGCUGGCCGCAUCUCCUCCUCAACUCAGAGUGGGGCCUAUGUGGUCACUCCCUUCCACUGCACCGACCUGGGAGAGCACAGUCCCUGGAGGACCCAUUGGAGGGCAAACCAGAGUUACUCUGAGGAACGAGCAUCUGCAGUACAUUGUCACCUGGUGUGGACUCUCUGCAGCUACAUCAUGCCUAUGGUUUAAGAAAUUCCUACGUGGGACACCUGGUGUGUAACAGAUCAGCUGCUAAAGCCCUGUCCCUGAAUAAUGAAGUAAAAAGACUGCCUUUAUGCUGGAUCAUGUGGUAUAAAGUUCUGGCCUUCUACCUUAAAAAAAA